ACCCCUAACAAGAAUCC
rnacentral:tRNA from 1 species